GAUGAACGCUGGCGGCGUGCCUAAUACAUGCAAGUCGAGCGAACGGACGAGAAGCUUGCUUUUCUGAUGUUAGCGGCGGACGGGUGAGUAACACGUGGAUAACCUACCUAUAAGACUGGGAUAACUUCGGGAAACCGGAGCUAAUACCGGAUAAUAUUUUGAACCGCAUGGUUCAAAAGUGAAAGACGGUCUUGCUGUCACUUAUAGAUGGAUCCGCGCUGCAUUAGCUAGUUGGUAAGGUAACGGCUUACCAAGGCAACGAUGCAUAGCCGACCUGAGAGGGUGAUCGGCCACCCUGGAACUGAGACACGGUCCAGACUCCUACGGGAGGCAGCAGUAGGGAAUCUUCCGCGAUGGGCGAAAGCCUGACGGAGCAACGCCGCGUGAGUGAUGAAGGUCUUCGGAUCGUAAAACUCUGUUAUUAGGGAAGAACAUAUGUGUAAGUAACUGUGCACAUCUUGACGGUACCUAAUCAGAAAGCCACGGCUAACUACGUG
rnacentral:rRNA from 1 species